rnacentral:rRNA from 1 species
GUUAGGAAUAUUGGACAAUGGGCGCAAGCCUGAUCCAGCCAUGCCGCGUGAGUGAUGAAGGCCUUCGGGUUGUAAAGCUCUUUAGCCGAUGAUUAUAAUGACUGUAGUCGGAAAAUAAGCCCCGGCUAACUUCGUGCCAGCAGCCGCGGUAAUACGAAGGGGGCGAGCGUUAUUCGGAAUCACUGGGCGUAAAGCGUGCGUAGGCGGCUUUGCAAGUUGGGAGUGAAAGCCCAGGGCUCAACCCUGGAAUUGCCUUUGAUACUGGCUGUCUUGAGUACGGGAGAGGUGAGUGGAACUCCGAGUGUAGAGGUGAAAUUCGUAGAUAUUCGGAAGAACACCAGUGGCGAAGGCGACUCACUGGCCCGUUACUGACGCUGAGGCGCGAAAGCGUGGGGAGCAAACAGGAUUAGAAACCCUUGUAGUCC